UGCUGCACACUGGGUUGGAGAGGGUGAGGGGUGAGGAGGAGGUGAAGUCAGCACAGUGCAAAUGCACCGGCAGAGCAAAUCCACUGUGCUUGCUGGUGCACUUGUACCGCACUGACCUCACCACCCCUCCCGCUCUCUGUCCCAGGAUGCAGC